AUUAGAAUGAAUGUGGAGUAAGUCUAUAAGAUUAAAAAGUAAUAGAAAGCUGAUGUGGAACAGUCUGGAGGUUGGUGUUGAGUCUAAACUCACCCUUAGUCGGGUUAUUUUACAUGAAACAAAACCAACACCGACCCAUUUCCUAACUCACGGAUUCAUCCUUCUCUCUCCGUUUAAAAAAAACCCAAAAUCCCAAACCCUCACCCGUAAAAGUUAAAACCCUUAACCCCUUCCCCGACGGCCGACAUGUCACUUCUUGUCUCUCUUUCCUCGUGACGGUGCCUGCCCUUUGCCGGCGUUAGCUAUACUCGCCGGUGACUCUGCGCCACUGUUCUUUUUUCUUUCCUUUCGUUUGUUGCUGCUGUGAUGGUCGUGGGUCGACGGUGUUGAUGCACCUUUUCACCCUUUAUCAGUUGUUAGUGGUAUGCCUGACUCCUCUUCGCCGUCGUUCUCCUCCUUCAUCCGCUUGUGGUUGAUGUUGUUGUUAUUGUUGUUGCGGUCCUCUGUCGCAAGCCACUGCUGGUGGUUCCCCUGCUUACCACCAGAGUCGCUGUUGUGUUGCUGCUAUCCUUUGUAGCGAGCCGCUGCUGGUGGUUCCUCUGCUUGUGGCCACUACUCUGUUAUUUCUCUUCUGUCGCGUUGUUGCUCUGCCGCACGGUGUUGAUGUUAUUGUGCUGUAAUAUUUGCUGGUUGUGCGAAGUACCAAAAGGAUAAGAAGAGCAUGCCUGAAAACAGUAUAAGAAGAGCACAAAAAUGUAGAACAGUAGAAGAAGCAUACCUGAAAACAGUAUAAGAAGAGCAGUCAAAUUAUAUAACUUUCGGUGUUCAAGACUUCAAGUUUUUGUAAGCAUGUCUUUUGUUAAUAAGAACUCAAAUAGAUCAGGCUUGCUUCCCUCCCCCCCUCUGGAAGUUGGAGCCUUUCCUUCUCUUCUGUUGUACUAGAAUUUAAUGGAAUGUGGGGGGGGGGGCGAAUUCUGUAAGAGGUCUGCUUAGAUAAAAAAGAGCUCUUUGAAAUUAUUAGAUUAGUAUUGCACUAUCAUAAAUCUUUCUCAUAAUAGAAACUAUACCUAUUUCGCUAACCCUCCUGCAAUCUAUGAAUCCAUAACAAGCGAACUGAUACAUGAUUCAUCGUACAAUGGCAUACUUUUUGACUAAUUGAACUGCAAGAGAUCACAUUUUCCAGAAUUAGGGAGCAAAGAUUGUAUUGGAUACCUUAAAUGCUAAAUUAACCAAUAUCAUGUUAUAAUAAAGAGAUACAAUAGCAGUUAUAUAAAUAAAAAAGAAUGGAUUCAUAUAUGUUCUUCAACUAAUCUUAGUCAUAAACCAAGAAAGGAACGUAUAGCAUAGAUAUGUGAUGUAAGUCCCACGUCGGUUAUAGAUCAAAAGAAACUUAUGUCAGGUAGAUUUGUUCAUAAUAAGUGCAUUAUUGCUGAUAAUUCCACAUGUCUUAUAAGCUAUGUAAAUAUGGGACUUUUGGUGUAGUCAUUGUAGUUGUAAUCUGGAAAACUAUUUAGCAGUGAUUUUCUGAUCUUUGAUUAACAUGGAUUAAGGACAUUAGCUCUUAGAAUUUCAGUUUUAGACUAUAAUUUUAUAGGUUCCUGAUGAAAGAACGUAGGUGAAGCUAUGAUUCUGUAACAUAAAACUCCUUUUAUUAUCUAACACAUCAGGUCUAGCAUCCUCAGUAGCAUGACUCCUUUUAUUAUACGAGUGCAGAUGCGUACUUGGUAGCAUGAGUAGCAUGAUUCCUUUUAUUAUGUCAGUUGCUUGACAAAACGGGCUUGAAAUUUGUAGAUGUAGCUAUAUAUAAACUAACCUUUCCCGCAGCCCCUGCACACAACCCCCCCUCCUACAGCCCUGCACACACACCCCCUCCUACAGCCCUGCACACCCCUCCUACAACCCCUGCACACCCACCCCCUCCUACAGCCCCUGCACACACACCCCCUCUACAGCCCCUGCACACCCCCCCUCCCACAGCCCCUGCACUAGAAAAGAGACACAACACAAAUGGAAAUAUUAUAUAGUAGCUUUUGUAAACACCUUCCCUUUUGAAAUAUCCCUGCACUUAGGUUCCAUCAUUAAAAAAUCUUGUAACAGAAAUUAAAAUGAUGUUGCUAUACGCAUUGCUCUUGGAGAAAUUAAAAUAAUCGCAGAAAUUAAGAAAGCUCUAACAAAGGCUGGCGUGAAUGUGGCUUCCUUGGAAGAUUUUGCUUCUAGGAAAUUAGAAGGUUCCAAGAGAAGCAACCAUGUCAUACUAGUCAAGAAUUUGCCUUUCAGUUCAAGUGAAGGUGAACUCUCUAAAAUGUUAGGCAGAUUUGGGAGUCUUGACAAAGUUAUUUUUUCUCCAACAAGAACAUUGGCGUUGGUAUGUCAUUCUUAUGUUAAUUCUAUUUAAGCCCAACAUCAAAUGAUGUGUUGUAUGCUUGUAUCUUUAUCCCUUAUCAGUUGCUUGAGGUGACCACUUUUUCUUUGGGGGAAGGGAGUAGUAGGGAGAUGAGACAUGAACUGGCAGACAAGCAUACAGUUUCACGAACUGAAAGGAAAAUAAUUUCAGAGUUCAGACUCGGAUUGCCUUUAUUUAUAAGUUUAACUUUCUUUUGCUUGUAUUAGCGUAUGCUUGUUUUAAAUUUAGAUUAUAAAUGUCAUUUACUGUAUCAUUAACGUGAAGGAGCAAUAUCUUGUAAUUCUUCAUCAAAAUCUGUAACAGAAGAAGAGUAAAACAGAAGCUUGGAAAUGAUUUAACAGAAGAAUCUUGAUAAUCUGUUAAAAGGUAAUCAGCAGAUUUAACAGAAGCUGCUGAUUACUCUUGAUGAUUUAACAAAUUCAUCAAAAUCAGUAACAGAAGAAGAGUAAAUGAUUUAAUAGAUUAUCAUCUUGCGCUAUAUUAAUCAUACUCACAUUCUAAUAAAAUCAAAGCAAACUAACAUAAUACCAGCCAAAUUCGACAAUUGUUCUUCCAGUUUAAGAUUUAACAUUAUGAUUUAACAUUAUGUUCGUUUAAUGAAAUUCUAAUAAAACCAAACAAACAUAAUACCAGCCAAAUUCCAAUAAAAUCUUAAACGAACAUAAUACCAGCCAAGAUUAUGAAAAUAUUUAAAUCAAAAUCAUGCCUUGAAACUGGAAGAAUAAUACCUAAUUUCCCUGAAACAUAUGCCCUGAAUCCAGUCCAAGAAACGUCACUCUUCUCGCCAAUGGGAGGAAUCCAGUUCGAGCACAACAAAAACAUGAAGACCGUCAAUUUAGGCGAACAAAAACAAAAGAGACCAUCUGAUUUUGGCUUUAUAGCAUGAAGGAUGGAGAAACUUACCAGAUAAUUUGAACAAAUGAUCUCCAAUUGGAGGAAUUCGGAUGAACAGAGGAGUUUGCGAGUAAAGAAGCUCAGAAGGAACCGCAAUGGAACAGCUUAGGGUUUUUUAAAAUUUUUGGGGAUGAACAAUCUAAUGAUAUUUUUUUAAUUUAAUAGUCUUUUGCAACCGUGAGUUUCGUUGUACUUAGUAAUUAUAUGGACGUUAAAAAAAUUAAGAAACCGGGAAAGCUCCCGCUCAAGUUUUUUCGCUCAAUUUCAUACUUUUUACGACCAGAUUUUAACGUCUACCACCAAAUUUAAGACUCGUUGCAAAAUAACCUUAAUAUCUACGACGGCUUUCAAAACUCGACGUAAUUGGUACCCUUUUACGACCGGAUUUCCGCACGGUCGUUAAGGUUGGUCGCAAUUGCCAUUCAUUCUUGUAGUGAUUGCCCCUAAGCGGUCGGGGGUCUAGGUGGCUAUGUAGAGAACAAUGAGGUCUUCCUAGGUCAUUUUACUAAGCUCUUGCUUAGUAAAGACACACCAAACGAGAAGUCGAUGGGUGUACCGAAGGAUAGAGAAAACAAUGGUCGUAGAGGAGACAGACCGAAAUUGAAAGUUGGAAAGUCGAGAGAUGAGCCUCCAAAAGGCUUAUUGGUUGUAAUUGGGAAAGUUUUGGAGGUGAGGGUGAUAAAUCCUCGCCUCCGAGGGCCAACCAAAUACCCCAUUCAACUCCGCUAAGGUUAUUCGAAAUUUGGUGUUAAAUAGUUGGAAGGAAAUAUCAAAUUCUUCCUCCCCAUUUAGAGUUCGCUCAAGAGAGGCGAGGAACUAAAGGGUGACCCGCUCAUAUGUCAGGGCAUGCAAAGGUGAAAAACAGUCCCAACCUAGGUCCGUUAGGCACGUUAGAACAUCUUGGCGAAUUCCAAGUGCUUUUAAGGUAGGGCCGUGGUAGAAUUUGGUCGGGUUAAUUUUUCGGUGCUUAAGUACAUCAUAGGCCUUUUGUGAUUUGAGUCGGGGUCAAACCGAAAGUUAGGAAUGUGGAUUGAAUCAUUGGGGGGAAGGAUUGACAUCUGUGAGGUUUUUGUUUUUCUUGGUGCGUGAAGUCAUAUUAUGGAGUUUAAAGAGAAGGCUCAACUACUAUACACAUACUUAAACAAUCAACAAAUGGACAAUACAAUCUCCAAAUUUCAACAAAGUCACAAACAAUAUAUCCACCAACAAAGUUCCAACAAGUCAAAUGAUCCUAAGGAGGUCCCAAAGGUGCUUCUAUGACAACAAUUCCAACAAUCACAAUAAAAGCUAUAAAAUAAAAACUAAAAAGAGAAAUUACACUACAAGAACACACAAACCACAAAGAUCACAAAUCACAAAAAACAUAAGAAAUAAAAAAAAAAACUAUCUAGAAAAACAGCUAAUCCCACAAUCACAAGUAAAAAUUAAAAAGAAACUAAUUAUGUAGAAUGAAAAAUAAAAGAGAGAAGAGAAAAAAAACAGAAAAAUAAAAUAAAAUAAAAAUAAAAUUCGAAAAUUAGAAAAAGAAGAAGGAAGAGAUGACCUUAC